rnacentral:rRNA from 1 species
UACACUCCUGCGGGAGGCAGCAGUGGGGAAUUUUGGACAAUGGGCGAAAGCCUGAUCCAGCAAUGCCGCGUGUGUGAAGAAGGCCUUCGGGUUGUAAAGCACUUUUGUCCGGAAAGAAAUCCUUGGCUCUAAUACAGUCGGGGGAUGACGGUACCGGAAGAAUAAGCACCGGCUAACUACGUGCCAGCAGCCGCGGUAAUACGUAGGGUGCGAGCGUUAAUCGGAAUUACUGGGCGUAAAGCGUGCGCAGGCGGUUUGCUAAGACCGAUGUGAAAUCCCGGGGCUCAACCUGGGAACUGCAUUGGUGACUGGCAGGCUAGAGUAUGGCAGAGGGGGGUAGAAUUCCACGUGUAGCAGUGAAAUGCGUAGAGAUGUGGAGGAAUACCGAUGGCGAAGGCAGCCCCCUGGGCCAAUACUGACGCUCAUGCACGAAAGCGUGGGGAGCAAACAGGAUUAGAAACCCGAGUAGUCCCAUG